GAGAGAGUGCAGUCCAAUUAUCAAGCCUUGCUUUAUGUGCACACACGUCUCCAGGGGAGUGAGUCACACUCCAGACGGCGAUUUUGUCGGAUUUACCAGCGGUCACAUCAUGUGAACUCAUCCAUGGUACUUCAAUCAGAAACCGGAAAUUCCACGGCCGCCCAUGAUGGUGCUUUUAGCGUUCGCCAAACGGGCACCAGCACUAGUCGCCGCGUCGCACACUUUCUGCGUUUUUCACGCUGCUCGAGCUCGAGUUUUUCGCUCUUUUCAACCGGCUAAUUAAAACGACGCGGCGCUCCGAGCGAGAGAUGUUUGUUCUGUAAAUAAGCCGGCGCGCAUAAUGAGCAUGAAG